UUAUCAGAAACUAAAUACUAAUUAGUCAGUAAGUCUAUAAGGAUUCCGAUAGUUGUACAUAUUGUGAAUAAAAUAACAAUUAUAAAAAUGAAUGCUUUAUUACAAGAAGAACUGUCUGAAAUAGUUAGUAAUGGUGCGUUUGGAAAAAAUCUCAAAUAUGAUUCGUUUGAAUUGAACAAGGAAUACGUCGGAGAGGAUCAGUACAUGUCCACGGUGUUAUUUGGUACAGUGACAACUUCUGACAAAUCACAAUAUCAGGUUGUAAUUAAAUUAAAACUUCGAGAUGAGGAGCUGAGAGUUAAGUUAAAAAUCGAUUACCAAUUUCACAACGAAAUUACAAUGUAUGAAAAAAUUAUACCAUUUCUAUUUGAAUGUCACCGAUCAUUAAAAGGAAUCGAAGACUGGCCAUCAUUACCUCGAUUUUUUUAUGGUAGUAAUAAAUGUGGCGAGUACUCUGAAAAAGAUUUAAUAGUGUUAGAGAACGUUAAACCUCUGGGAUACCAAUUGAGCGAAGAACGGCUGUUCAUUGACUAUGAUCAUCUUGUAUUUGCAUUACGAGCAUUAGCAAAGUUUCACGGGUUGUCAUACACAGCGAAAUAUAAAGAUCCACAUAGAUUACAAAAAUAUGUCAUGUAUCUUCGGGAUACUCAAUUUGACGUGGACGGACAAUGGAUGCUAAAGAACAACGCAUUAAAGAAAUUAGGCAAGCGAGGAGUCGAUCGUCUUAUUGAACGUAGCGGUGACCUUUACUGGGACAACGAGCACUUGCGACGAUUUAACGAGCUCAUCGAUGAUGGAAAUAACACACUGAGACGUGCGCUGUAUCAUCGAGAACCGUUGUCUGUCGUGUGUCACGGGGACUUCAAUAGGAACAAUUUGUUAUUUCAGUACGAUGAUUCUGGUCUUCCAGUCGACGUGCUGCUGUUCGACUUUGGUACUCCUCGUUACGGGUCGCCGGCUUUAGAUAUUUCGUUUUUCUUGUAUAUGAACACUACGAAAAAUAUGCGUGAAAGUCACUGGGAUGACUUAUUGAACGAAUACUGUGCCACUUUGGCGAAAUCCGUGCCUUCUGUCGUUUGCGUGCCGAACAGGGCUCAACUGGACUCUGAAAUGGCUGCUUGUGCUAUUUUUGGCUUUGCACAUGCAUCAUUUUUCUUACCCUGCCAGAUUGAUCCUAGUCCUAUAGAUUCGGAAUCGGAUGAAGAAAAAUCUAUUGAGUUGUUAUUACAAAGGGGUGGAGACAAAGGAACGGAUCUAGUGGCUGAUCUAGUUCAACACAUUGUCGAAAUGAGAUACACUAAUGUGUGACGUGGUUAUCGGUUUCUUAAAAAUUGAUCGGUACUAAUCAUGUAUAAACGAUAUGUUUAUUUUGGUUGGAACAGUAUUAUAUGUACACAAAACUUACAUAUUAUGCCAUCGAUUUAACUCUAUAGAAUUUAAACCAUUAUUUUAUUGCUUCGAAAAAAAGUAGACUGUUCAAUGCUUGUAAGAUUUUUAAACUUAAUCAUAAAAAUAUUUAACUAUUUUAUAUACGAUGUAAAAAUAAUUUUUUCAUCUUAAUUUAAUAAAUUUCAUUGUUACAUAUCAUACAUUAAGCGCUUUAUGUAUUGUGAACGAGUUCAAAUUUGAAAUUAUAAUUGUAUUAUUUACUGGUUAUAUUUUAUUUAAAUAUAGAUUUUAAAUUGUACACGUUGUAUAAACAACAUCGAUUUAAACACGAAGUAAACAUAAUAAUAUUGCUUACUAUAGAAUUA
rnacentral:misc_RNA from 1 species